rnacentral:rRNA from 1 species
GCACAAGCGAGGAACAUGUUGGUUUAAUUCGAUGAUACGCGAGGAACCUUACCUGGGCUUAAAUGUAGAGUGCUAUUUUUUAGAGAUAGAAAUUCCCUUCGGGGCUUUCUGCAAGGUGCUGCAUGGUUGUCGUCAGCUCGUGCCGUGAGGUGUCGGGUUUAAGUCCCAUAACGAGCGCAACCCUUAUCGUUAGUUGCCAUCUGGUAAUGCAGGGGACUCUAGCGAAACUGCCACCGUAAGGUGAGAGGAAGUGGGGAUGACGUCAAAUCAGCACGGCCCUUAUGUCCAGGGCUACACACGUGUUACAAUGGUCGGUACAGAGGGCAGCUACCUGGUGACAGGAUGCUAAUCUCGAAAACCGGUCUCAGUUCGGAUCGAAGUCUGCAACUCGACUUCGUGAAGCUGGAUUCGCUAGUAAUCGCGCAUCAGCUAUGGCGCGGUGAAUACGUUCCCGGGCCUU